AUUGAACGCUGGCGGCAGGCCUAACACAUGCAAGUCGAGCGGAUGAAGGGAGCUUGCUCCUGGAUUCAGCGGCGGACGGGUGAGUAAUGCCUAGGAAUCUGCCUGGUAGUGGGGGAUAACGUCCGGAAACGGGCGCUAAUACCGCAUACGUCCUGAGGGAGAAAGUGGGGGAUCUUCGGACCUCACGCUAUCAGAUGAGCCUAGGUCGGAUUAGCUAGUUGGCGGGGUAAAGGCCUACCAAGGCGACGAUCCGUAACUGGUCUGAGAGGAUGAUCAGUCACACUGGAACUGAGACACGGUCCAGACUCCUACGGGAGGCAGCAGUGGGGAAGAUUGGACAAUGGGCGAAAGCCUGAUCCAGCCAUGCCGCGUGUGUGAAGAAGGUCUUCGGAUUGUAAAGCACUUUAAGUUGGGAGGAAGGGCAGUAAGUUAAUACCUUGCUGUUUUGACGUUACCAACAGAAUAAGCACCGGCUAACUUCGUG
rnacentral:rRNA from 1 species